ACUAGGCUGCCCCUUCCUGCGCCCCUGGCCUCCUGCCUCCUCAAUCCUCCGCCCCGGCGCCCCCUUCCCCACGACAUGGCCCCGGCGCCCACCCCGCCGUCACUGCGGUGCAGGCGGCCGCCGCCGCAUUCUUGAGCCUUGUCCCAUGACCCGACCCGACCCCCGGUGCUCACGCAGUCCACUUCUCUGCGGUCCAGGAACCUGACGCUGCAGGUGCAGGGGGUCGCCGCCGCCGCCGCCGUUGCAGGUCCAGGUCCUCCGGCCGCAGGUCCACGGGAUGUUGCAGCAGGUCCAGGGGCUGCCCCGACGCCGCAACAGGUCCACGGUGCCACAUGGAGCCGAAUAUUGCCUCCAAAUCAGAAGUGCCAAAAUUGAUCAGUAGCUGAAUUCUUGUGUCAAUGUGACAAUGUGUACAAACAUGGAUAAAGAGGCAGUGGAGUUUAAGAAUACUGGAGAUAUAUUUUGUUUACAUUCCAGUUUUCCCAGUAGUAUGGGCUUGUACUCUUCACUAUGUACAUUUUCUCACUAGAAUCAUAUUAUAUAUCACAUCAUGUGAACAAGUACGAUGUUUGUAAACUUCCUACAAAUAAUGCAGCUUGCUAUGAUUAUUAAAAUUAAUGGUUUGUGUGAUUUUGCAAUUUA